GACGAACGCUGGCGGCGUGCUUAACACAUGCAAGUCGAACGAUGAAGCCGGAGCUUGCUCCGGUGGAUUAGUGGCGAACGGGUGAGUAACACGUGAGAAAUCUGCCCUUGACUCUGGGAUAACUGCGGGAAACUGUAGCUAAUACCGGAUACGACACCUUGGGGCAUCCCAGGGUGUGGAAAGAAUUUCGGUCAAGGAUGAGCUCGCGGCCUAUCAGCUAGUUGGUGAGGUAAUGGCUCACCAAGGCGACGACGGGUAGCCGGCCUGAGAGGGGGACCGGCCACACUGGAACUGAGACACGGUCCAGACUCCUACGGGAGGCAGCAGUGGGGAAUAUUGCACAAUGGGCGAAAGCCUGAUGCAGCAACGCCGCGUGAGGGAUGAAGGCCUUCGGGUUGUAAACCUCUUUUAGCAGGGAAGAAGCGAAAGUGACGGUACCUGCAGAAAAAGCACCGGCUAACUACGUGCCAGCAGCCGCCGUAA
rnacentral:rRNA from 1 species